CUGGCAUGAAUGAACAAGACCUUGUUUAGUGCAAAAACACUGAGUGGUUUUCUGUACUAGCCUCUCACGGAGGAACAAGAUGGGAACCACAGCCUUAAACCAAUUCAGGAGCUCCCCUCAAGAAACUCUUUUUUCAUAUUUUAGCUACAGCAGUAAGAUGAAUAUGGAUGGUUCCGGCCACCAGGGAGCGUGAUAGACCAGCAAAUUGACACAAUCUCCGUGGCCUGUCGGGUCCAGCAUCGCACACUAAAUAAAGAUGGAGGUGGCCGGAGUUAGAGGGAGGACACAGAAGCAGCACUACAAGAAGGAAAAUAAGGGAGAAUGGCAGGACACAGAAGGACAAAAGGAUGAGGGGAAAAGGAGAGAAGAGAAUCACAUCCAAGGAACA
rnacentral:lncRNA from 1 species